GUUAGAGUGAAUUGUUAAAUGUUUGUCAUUUUUAUGCUUGCCAUCCAUCUCUAUAUAGUUUAACUGUGGGAUGAAAACAAUUCCACUGUCCCCUCCCCAGACUCGUGAGUUUCUGGAUGAGGGGCUGUCAGAUACAUCCUAUCUGGAAGAUCUACUUCUUUUGAUGUAAGCUUCCUGCGUUUACGACCCUUUGGUCAGCAGGAGGUCUAACACACACACACACACACACACACACACACACACACACACACACACACUGCCUCGUCUUUGUAACCAAGGGGGGUUAAGAGGGGAGGUACGUGUUGUAAACUAUUGUGUGAACUGUAACAGUUUGUCAAUAAAUAGCUGCGAGGGAAGCUGCUCUUUGAAGGACUUUGGGCUGGAGACGGGUUAGGAGCUGGUUCUUGACCAAAGACUUCCCUUGCUAGCAAGUAAAGGAUGUUCGUCUUGUUUCUGUCGUUAACGGGAAUAAGUUUCUAAACCAGCGGGGUCUGAGUUUAGACCCAACAUUUAUUUGGUCCUUCGAGCCGGAUCCUAAAACAUCGCAUCCACCACGAGGAGAGGGAGAGGACGCCGCCGCAGUCUGCUAGCAGCCAUCGUCUGGGACGAUUGACGAAAGCCCUGGUUUCUUUACUUUGUCACCAGGCCGGAAAGUUUGCGUCUGAACUCCCCCGGGAUGGAUGGCGAUUGACGGGAACCAGAAACUUUUCCCAUGAACGAAAACAACACGAACAAUGUCGUGAGACGCCAUGACGAGAAGGACAAAGAAGGUCCACAAGAUGGAAGCUGAGGCCUCGAGAGAGUCUUCAGGAGAGUUGGAGAUCACCUUCAGCACAGAGAGCUGUGCUACUGGGCUUCCAGGAGAUCGUCAUGAGGAGACUCUGCACUGCAAAAUCUUAAAUGAGAUGAAAGACUUUCGACGUUGACGUUGAGGAAGACAACUAAGGUGUACGACGUGCUCUGCCUUUAAAAUCUUCAGCAGCGUUGGAACAUGAGAACCGGAGGGAGCGUGCCAGGCUCCAUAAGUGACAGCGCAGAGGAGGUCCAGCGAUGGACUUGUGGUUCUGUGAACAGCACAAAUGCCAGGUGACUGUGAAAUAACUAACAGCACUUUUUCCACAAGUGAAGCCAGUAACUUACUAUCCUAACAGAUUAGCUUUAGUUGCUUGUGCUUUACUUCCAUGCGUGAGAUCAGUAUGUGCAGCAGCUUAAGCUGUACAGUGUUUCAGCAAAUAGUUUAUUUCACCCUUUUGACACUGUUAGUUCCACGCGAGGUGGAUGUCUACUACUACAGACUAAAGUUACAUUUUUGUCACUUACAAGACACUUGUCUUUAAUGUUACUCUUACUCUCACAACCACAUAUUACCAUAAAGUGAUGCACAAUUCUGAAUUUGUCAAACCCUUUUUGCCAAUGGAAGAAGAGGGCACUUCUCAUGAGUGUAGAGAUCACGUAGAGAAGGAGUGUAAGCCGAGGGAUGACUUGGUAGAUGUGCCACUUGUUGAGGGAAAGGUUUGGUUUGUUGAUGGUUUGACUUUUAUAACAGUAGAGGGACAGACUAAAACAGGUUUUACUGUAGUAGAUAGUGAGAAAGUUAUCUGUGCAGGACAACUAGCAUGUUUUAUAUUUGCUUGAGCAGCAGAGAUGCCAGCUUUAACGGAAGCAUGUAAAGCUGCAAAGAAACAAGAUGUGACAAUAUACACUGAUAGCCAGUAUGCAUUUGCUACAUUACAUUUCUUUGCAGCACAGUGGGCAAGACGAGGUGUGACAGCCCCUACAGGGAAACCUGUAGAACACGCCAAACUCUUGCAAAAUCUGCUGGAAGCAGAGUUUUUACCCAGUAGGAUUGCUGUUUGCAAAUGUGUAGCACACAUGUGAGGGAAAGAUCCAGUUGCAUUAGAGAAUGCUUUUGCAGAUAAGAUCGCAAACGAAGUAACUUUAGGAGAACAUGUUGUUAACGUUUUAGCAGUGCAAUGCCAGCAGACGUUGGCUAUUAUGCGGGAUGCACUGGCAGAUAUGCAGGGCCACUCACCUACUGCAGGAAAACAGUUGUGAUUUACAGAAGGAGCGAGCUUGCAGGAUGGUGUUUAUUAUCUGUGUGAUAAACCAAUACUGCCUUAGAAUUGGUAUAAAACUGUUGCUAUUUUGCGCCAUGGGCUUUGCCAUGUCGCAACAGGAGGGAGAUAAUGAGUAGUUUAUACUUUAAGAUUAAAUACCCUUAAAAAAAAAUUUUGCAGGUCAUGUAUGAUAUGUUGCAAUCAUUUGGAACAUGGGAUUCCCGAGACCAUUUAUAGUGAUAAUGGUCCACAAUUUGUAAAUGAAGUGAUUAGAUUAAUGGCACAACAUCUAGGGAUAACAUUAAUAACAUAAUUGUUUAUAUCACCCACAAAGUGCAGGGUUGGUAGAGAGAACUAAUGGAACAGUAAAGUUAAGACUUAGGAAGUCAAUGGAAGAGAC
ensembl:lncRNA